rnacentral:pre_miRNA from 1 species
CAUAUACUCCCUCCGUCCGGAAUUACUUGUCGCAUAAAUGGAUAAAAAAGGAUGUAUCUAAAACUAAAAUACAUCUAGAUACAUCCAUUCUUAUGACAAAUAUUUCCGGACAGAGGGAGUAUUUG